rnacentral:rRNA from 1 species
AUGAACGCUGGCGGCGUGCCUAAUACAUGCAAGUCGAACGCAUAGCGAAAGGUGCUUGCCCCUUUCAAGUGAGUGGCGAACGGGUGAGUAACACGUGGACAACCUGCCUCAAGGCUGGGGAUAACAUUUGGAAACAGAUGCUAAUACCGAAUAAAACUUAGUGUCGCAUGACACAAAGUUAAAAGGCGCUUCGGCGUCACCUAGAGAUGGAUCCGCGGUGCAUUAGUUAGUUGGUGGGGUAAAGGCCUACCAAGACAAUGAUGCAUAGCCGAGUUGAGAGACUGAUCGGCCACAUUGGGACUGAGACACGGCCCAAACUCCUACGGGAGGCUGCAGUAGGGAAUCUUCCACAAUGGGCGAAAGCCUGAUGGAGCAACGCCGCGUGUGUGAUGAAGGCUUUCGGGUCGUAAAGCACUGUUGUAUGGGAAGAACAGCUAGAAUAGGAAAUGAUUUUAGUUUGACGGUACCAUACCAGAAAGGGACGGCUAAAUACGUG